ACGAACGCUGGCGGCGUGCUUAACCCAUGCAAGUCGAACGGGCCCGCUCUCUUUUUUGGGGGUGGGUUGAGUGGCGAACGGGUGAGUAUCACGUGAGUAACCUGCCCCCUGCUCCUGGAUAACUGCUUGAAAGGGCGGCUAAUACGGGGUGUGCCGGCUGGUCCGCAUGGGCCUGGUCGGGAUAGUUUCAUCUUCGGGUGUUUCGGUGGGGGAUGGGCUCGCGGCCUAUCAGCUUGUUGGUGGGGUGAUGGCCCACCAAGGCGGUGACGGGUAGCCGGCCUGGGAGGGUGGGCGGCCACACUGGGACUGAGACACGGCCCAGACUCCUGCGGGAGGCAGCAGUGGGGGGUAUUGCACAAUGGGCGGAAGCCUGAUGCAGCGACGUCGCGUGAGGGAUGGAGGCCUUCGGGUUGUGAACCUCUUUCUCCGGUGGUGAAGGCCCUGUCCGUUGCGGCGGGGUUGACGGUAGCCGGGUAUGAAGCGCCGGCUAACUACGUG
rnacentral:rRNA from 1 species